GCCACAGCUGGUCUUUUUCAUAUUUACAUCUCUCUAAAGCUUCUGCAUCAGGAAAAAUCUAACUAGAAAUAAGUUUGAAAUACGAGUUUGAUGUUCUAUUCUUUUUACUUUCAACCUUCAUUUCCUUGACCUUGAAAUGACUGGAGUUCCAGGAGCUGCAAAAAGAUGAAGAUCCACAAGAUCUGCACAGAGAAAUAUACUGCCCGGGAAGACAGCAUCCCUUGUACCCGUGACCUCAGUUGGAGGGAAUCGUUCACUUGUGGAGAGUGGGAAAGAGAGAACCCCUCUGGGCCGCAGCCACUUUCACUCCUCAGCACUCUGGCAGCUUCCACCUGGCCACAGCUGGCCCCAUCCAUAGGAAACUCUAUUUGACUUACACGGGGGCAAGUCUGUGCAACCCUAACCAACACUGUUGGGCAGCAUUCAGCUCCAUCCAGGGACUCUAUCUGGACAGAGGGGAAGAGAAAGCAGCAACUAAGAGAAAACUAGGGUCAUCAUCAUCAUGUGGUGACAGCAGAGCCUUUCCUCAUUCCAGCUGUGCUUACCUCUGCAUCCUCAGUACCACACACAAGCACAGCCCAAUCCCAUCCCAAGGGCCGUGAGUGGGCACAGAAAGACCUGCACUCCGAAUGGCUGGAGCCAAGAGAUGGAGAAGCAAUGUGAGGAGCAGAAGCAGAGGGGAGGCUGAAGAGAGCCAAGUGGAGAUGAAGAGAGAGGUGGCAGGAGGGAGUCAAAGAAGAUAAGAGAUACAAAGAGAAGAGGUAACAGAAGGAAGCAGAAGAGACUUGGGAGAACAGAUGAAGAGGACAAGAGAAGAAGUACAUCACUGAGAGAUGCCUCACUAAGCUUCUAUUUAUCUAAUUUAAAACUUGAAAGUAAAGCCAUAAACCAAAAAAAAAAAAAAGUGUGUUUUCU